CGCCGUUGGCGGCAGCUACCAUGCAAGUCGAGCGGUAGCACAGGGGAGCUUGCUCCCCGGGUGACGAGCGGCGGACGGGUGAGUAAUGUCUGGGAAACUGCCUGAUGGAGGGGGAUAACUACUGGAAACGGUAGCUAAUACCGCAUAACGUCGCAAGACCAAAGAGGGGGACCUUCGGGCCUCUUGCCAUCAGAUGUGCCCAGAUGGGAUUAGCUAGUAGGUGGGGUAAUGGCUCACCUAGGCGACGAUCCCUAGCUGGUCUGAGAGGAUGACCAGCCACACUGGAACUGAGACACGGUCCAGACUCCUACGGGAGGCAGCAGUGGGGAAUAUUGCACAAUGGGCGCAAGCCUGAUGCAGCCAUGCCGCGUGUGUGAAGAAGGCCUUCGGGUUGUAAAGCACUUUCAGCGAGGAGGAAGGUGGUGAGCUUAAUACGCUCAUCAAUUGACGUUACUCGCAGAAGAAGCACCGGCUAACUCCGUGCCAGCAGCCGCGGUAAUACGGAGGGUGCAAGCGUUAAUCGGAAUUACUGGGCGUAAAGCGCACGCAGGCGGUUUGUUAAGUCAGAUGUGAAAUCCCCGGGCUCAACCUGGGAACUGCAUUUGAAACUGGCAAGCUAGAGUCUCGUAGAGGGGGGUAGAAUUCCAGGUGUAGCGGUGAAAUGCGUAGAGAUCUGGAGGAAUACCGGUGGCGAAGGCGGCCCCCUGGACGAAGACUGACGCUCAGGUGCGAAAGCGUGGGGAGCAAACAGGAUUAGAUACCCUGGUAGUCCACGCUGUAAACGAUGUCGAUUUGGAGGUUGUGCCCUUGAGGCGUGGCUUCCGGAGCUAACGCGUUAAAUCGACCGCCUGGGGAGUACGGCCGCAAGGUUAAAACUCAAAUGAAUUGACGGGGGCCCGCACAAGCGGUGGAGCAUGUGGGUUUAAUUCGAUGCAACGCGAAGAACCCUUACCUACUCUUGACAUCCAGAGAACUUACCAGAGAUGCUUUGUGCCUUUCGGAAACUCUGAGACAGUGCUGCAUGACUGUCGUCAGCUCGUGUUGUUGAAUGAUGGGUAAGUUCCCAGCACGAGCGCAACCUUAUCCUUUGUGCAGCGUCGGUCGUACUCAAGGUACUGGCCAGUGAUAACUGGAAGGAGGUGGGAUGACGUCAAGUCAUCAUGCCCUACGAGUAGGCUACCACGCGUUGCUAUCA
rnacentral:rRNA from 1 species